rnacentral:rRNA from 1 species
AUACGGAGGAUCCGAGCGUUAUCCGGAUUUAUUGGGUUUAAAGGGAGCGUAGGUGGACAGUUAAGUCAGUUGUGAAAGUUUGCGGCUCAACCGUACAAUUACAGUUGAUACUGGCUGUCUUGUGUACAGUAGAGGUGGGCGGUAUUCGGGGUGUAGCGGGGAAAUGCUUAGAUAUCACGAAGAACUCCGGUUGCGAAGGCAGCUCACUGGACUGCAACUGACACUGAUGCUCGAAAGUGUGGGUAUCAAACAGGAUUAGAUACCCUGGUAGUCCACACAGUAAACGAUGAAUACUCGCUGUUUGCGAUAUACAGUAAGCGGCCAAGCGAAAGCAUUAAGUAUUCCACCUGGGGAGUACGCCGGCAACGGUGAAACUCAAAUGAAUUGACGGGG